GGAAAGGAAAGGCUGUUACUGCCUGAUCAUUACAGGUGGCAGUUUGGGAGUGGUGUAAGUCAAUGACCUACCUCUGGCAGGGGGCCAGGGCAAAUUGGAAGAAACAUUGCAUACUUGGACUGCACAACAUAGUGUCUUUUUUUCACCCAGUCUCCGAGGGGCUAUCAGGAAGUUGUCUGUGAUUGGCUAGAGUCAGUUUCCUACGGCACCCUUGCUGGCAAACUCUGGGUUUGUAGCUGAGUAAUAUAUGAAGUGGCCUUAAAAGGCGCCAGUAGCUAAUGCCCAGUCAGAUUUGAUGCUACCCAUGAGACUAAUCCUGCCUCCCACACCUUCAAGUCUGUUGGACAAGAACAUGGACUGAACAAAGUGAUUUCCCAAGGAAAUGAGAUGGUAGAGUCCUUAGGAUGCAGAAUGGACAGUAUCAUUUCAUAUUCCAGUGUGAUGUGGUACAGACUGCUCUUCCAGCUCAGGACUCCUCCACUUCAUUCUGCUGCAUGUGUGGACCAGGCCUCAGAACUGCGGAGUGGAGAAUGGACGAACAGUUGAUCUCUCACAUCAUAUGGAAGAUUUGGCACAAAAUGAAAGACUCCCAGACUCUUCCUAGACCUCUGCAAUGUGCAAAGAACCCUGGAUAGGGAGGGAGUCUCUUGCUUUGAGCUAUAGAGUAUCAGAGGCGUGGCAGACGCCUCCUCAACCUAUGCCUUAAUCUGCCAUUGUGUGUAUCCAGUUCUGAUCCAACAAGGGGAUCCAAAGGCUCAUCACCCUUGCUGAGUCCUGAGCUCCAGGACUGAUAUUGCAUAAUAGCAUUUACACUAGCUGCAAUUGAAUCUAAUGUGAUUUUGGAAGAUUCAAGAAGGACAUAAUUACAAUAAUCAAUACAUUAUAAAGUGGAAUAAAAGCAUAUAGUGGAA